UAGCUCCCUGUCCCGCCGCCAGCAUGGCGCGGGAGGCCGCCGGCUCCGCAGCUGCGCGCGUGCACCGCGGGGGCGUGUGGUGGCUUCCCCCGGCGGACAGCCGCGGCUCCCCCGGGAAAGUUGCGGCUUCCCGCAGGGGGCCGGGCUUGGCUCCUGCUUCCUCCCCUUGCCGCCCGAUGUCGCCGCCCGCGGGCCUCGGGGCGGGCGUGCCGGCGAUGCGCCCAGGGGACCUGUGGGGGGGGCCGGGCCGGGCCGGGGCGGGGCGGGGGCACCCCGGCCGUCCGGCCAUGAGGACAAGCCCGGCGCCGGAGCCGGUGGCGGCGGGACCGAGCACAUGGAGCCUCCGCUUCCGCGGCGCGCGCCUCCCUCCACCUGCCCGGGGAGCGGAGGAUGCAGCUGCCCGGCCCGGAUUUGUGCCCCCCGGGGACUGGUUUUUAAUUGCACCUGGGUUCCUCAGAAGACGAUGAGGUCAUUCAAGAAGGUCUCGUCAGGCCCAGGAUACUUUCCUUGUCUCUUUUGGAAUCCAAGUACUAUCUUCUGCCUCUUGACACCUUAGCCUGCCAUUUUAGUCUAUUGGCACCUUAAACUGGAAGGAGAAAAAAAAAUCAUUAAAAUACACUAAUCUUUGUCAGGAUUUUUUUAAA